rnacentral:rRNA from 1 species
UACGGAGGGAGCUAGCGUUGUUCGGAAUUACUGGGCGUAAAGCGCACGUAGGCGGCUUUGUAAGUAAGAGGUGAAAGCCUGGUGCUCAACACCAGAACUGCCUUUUAGACUGCAUCGCUUGAAUCCGGGAGAGGUGAGUGGAAUUCCGAGUGUAGAGGUGAAAUUCGUAGAUAUUCGGAAGAACACCAGUGGCGAAGGCGGCUCACUGGACCGGUAUUGACGCUGAGGUGCGAAAGCGUGGGGAGCAAACAGG